GACGGAGGGUGCAAGCGUUGUUCGGAUUGACUGGGCGUAAAGGGCGUGUAGGCGGUUGGUCAAGUCUGAUGUGAAAGCCCGGGGCUCAGCUCCGGAAGUGCGUCGGAAACUAGCCAGCUGGAGCGCGAUAGAGGAGGGUGGAAUUCCUGGUGUAGCGGUGAAAUGCGUAGAUAUCAGGAGGAACACCGGCGGCGAAGGCGGCCCUCUGGAUCGUUGCUGACGCUGAGACGCGAAAGCGUGGGUAGCAAACAGG
rnacentral:rRNA from 1 species